rnacentral:lncRNA from 1 species
AUUUUUCAUUUAAUUUUAAUAACAUUUUUACCUAGAUAUUUUUUGUGAUCUCAAAAUUAUUUUUCUUUUAUUUUUCUGAGAUAUAAAUUUAUACUGUUGAGUAAACUACUGUCCGAAAUUCGGUAGAAUUUUAAGCCCAAACUUUUAUCAUAGCUUACUAAAAUAUUUCAUGAUUGAUUUCUAAAAUUACUUUUCUUAAAUUCACAGUCUAGAAAAAAUAUUAAUUAUCA